UGCUCCCUGAACGCUGCCUGCUUCACUUGUCAAGCAGCAAAUGACACACUGAGGGUUUGUCAAACCUCUGUCCCUUUGUGUGCUUAAGGGGAGGAAACUGCUGUUAAUGUUUAACAAAACAGGAGCAAAGCCUUUCUCUGCAAUCUCACGUGUUGGCUUUGAAGGAACCGGUGUGUGGGAAAUCUGGUGAGCCAGAAGUUUGCUCAUGGUAGCCCAUUAAAAUUGAGUUUUUAUUUUAAAGUCACAGGAAGCAACAGUUUCCAAAUCGUUCCUGAAGCUCUGAAGUGAGGCAAUCCUCGGUUCCUUUAGCUGCCUGAUGCUAAAGAACUCAUAGAAGCUGUGUCAGGGACCAAACCAUACACACACAGCAAGCCUGCCAAGCUCAGCCCCUAUCUUGAAGCCCACAUGGGUGACAGGACUGUUUGACAGGAAAGGGAGAGGUUAAAAAUGCACAUUCAAAAGCUUUCAGAUCCCUGCCAACAAAUGACCACAGGCUGUCUGCCAUCUCCCCUUUGCCUGUGUUGACAUAAAGUGGCUUUCCAGCACAAAUCGAGGGGGCAGAGGUCUGGUGUGGGAGCAGCCUCAUUAUUGGGCAUUUAUGAGGUAAUGUGGACUGACAGCUCCUCUUCUGGCCCCAGCUGCCAGGGUGAGUCAGGGUGAGUGUCCCGCUGCACAACAAAGCAGGUAAGUCAGCUGCAGCGGGAGACAUCAUCCACGCUGUGACAGCGGGAGGAUUAACCAACACUGCCCACGCCUGAGUGUCGCCUGCACUGCCCAUCCCGGCACUGAAGGCCCCUGUACCAGCAUUGUUAAAAGGACCUUCUGAGAUUUUAACUAGCAGAAUUUGAAUCACAGAACCUUUCUACUGCCACUGCAAUCAAUUCUGAUUUUACUGUUACCUGGAAAAAGCUUGCUUUUAGCAAAUUGUGAUGCAUGAUGGGCUUAUCCUAGGAAUCCAAAAUGAAAAAUACCAUUUCCAUCUGUUAGCUGCUCUUAAUUGUUUGUCCAAAAAGUACUUGCUGUACAGCCACAGUGUUGUGAAUCACCUAUGUUGAAGUGACCCUGUUUUACAGGCCUAAUAUUUGCUUUCUAUAGCUAAGGGGAGAAGAAAGCAAAUUGAUACUUCUCAUUUACUUCAGCAAUUUCCUACAGCUCCCUCAAAAUAAAAUACUAACACAUAUUGGCAAUAAAGCUCCUCAUCAAUAUGAUAAUCAUAAAAUAUUUCCUUUAUAAAAAUAAUGCUUUAAGAACUUCAGGAGCAACAUAUGGAUGCUCUGGGCAAAAUUUUCAUAUCUGGUUAAUAACAAACAGGAUAUUUAAGCUCUCAAAAAAAGCAGUCAGGCUCUUACAAGAGACGCCAUUCCCAUUGACUACAGUAGAAUUUUAUGGAUUGACUCAAUAAAUCAUUUUUUGCAGUGUUAUUUAGUUAUUAGGAACAUCAUAUCUGCUACAAUGAUAUAUUUAGUUGCGCUUUCAGCACCGAAGCCCAUCCUACCAGAUGCCUGCUGCUCAACAGCUCCAGGGCUCCCUGGUGCCAAGGGAAUGUGGCACAUUCCUUUGUGACACACUGCCAGUUCUAUACACAGGACCUGGCCAGAAUGGAAAUAACUUCAGAGUGCAUGAUGGGAAUUGUGACAAAAGUCACAAUUCAAAAAAGUCUCCCAGGAACUAUGCGCAUUUUUGCAGUAGGACCAGGGCUCACUGUGGCGGAUGCAGUGUUCUCUCCGUCCCAAGGCUCUGUAACUACUGGUGAGGGAGUUGCUCAGUCUUGUCCUCCCCUGUCUGCCCCUGGAGUCAUCCACCCUGGAUGUGAGCACAGCUCCUCUGCAUUAGCCACAAGGUGCAUUGCCAGUGCAGGCAGACUGGAUCACAUUUGCAUGAAUGACCUGACAAUAAAUCUGGGCUGUGCCUACAGCUCAAACCA